AUUUAAUUAUAGUAAAUUAUAUUAACAUUUUGAAUAUUUUUUAUAAUAUAAUUAUAUAUGAAUAUUUACAUAAAUAUUAGAAGAAAAAAUUUUUAUAUUUAUUAAUAUAAAUAGAGAUGUUUUAAUACCCAAAAAGUUUGGCCAAAUUUGUGCCAGCCGCCGCGGUUAUACAGAUGAGCUAAGUUAAUAAAAUAUAAUAAAAAUUAUUAAAGUAAUUUUUUAUGAGUUAAAUAGUAAAAAAGGUGAAAUUUAAUUUAAUUUUUUAUAAAUUAUUAUAAUUUUAUAUAAAUUAGUUAAUAAACUAGGAUUAGAAACCCUAUUAUAUAGAUAUGAAUAUUGAUAGUAAGUAAAAAUUAAGAAAUCAAAAGAAUUUGGCGGUAUUUUAAGCUUAUUAGAGGAAUUUGUUAUAUAAUGGAUAAAACACCUAUAUUUUACUUAAAUUUGUAAAUACAAUUUGUAUAUCACUAUUAUAAGAUGAUAUUUUAUAAUUAUUUUUAAGAUAAAAUUAUUUUAAAAUAUUAAGUCAAGAUGCAAUAAAAAUUUAUGGAAUAAAUGAAUUACAUGGAUUAUAAUUAUUAAAAUUAUUAAUGAAAUAUUAAAUAUUAUAUAGGAUUUAAUAGUAAAUUUAAUAUAAUAUCUUAAAUUGAAUGUAGCUCUAAAAUAUGCACAUAUUGCCCGUCACUCUCAGAAUAAUGAGAAAAGUCGUAACAAAGUAAAAAUACUAGAAAGUAUUUUU
rnacentral:ncRNA from 1 species